UUUCGGUGCGCUCCCACAAAGAGCCCCGCCGGCCGGGGGGGGGGACCCGGAGGUCGCGGCGUUCUGAUUCAAAGGACCGCUUUUGUUCUCUUCAGGACUGCUGAAAGAAUUAUUCUCCCCUUCUCAUCUGGCACAUUUGGUUUUAAUAACGAGCUCAAACCUUUCAAUGUUCUGGAAAAGAAGGAAGAAGCUCUGAGCAAUCUGCACUGAUUGAACUCUGGAGUAACACUUCAUUUCCUAAUAUGACAUCUUGGUCUUAUUUUUUAUGGCUAGUGUCCAUCCUUCACUCCUACGUGGAUUUUGUUACUAAAAAACAACAAGGAAACAUAAGUGUUCUUGGAGCAUAAUCAUGUGAAGUGGAGAAGUCCAGCUAAUCACAGAGAUGGAUUUUUGCCUAGAGUGACAAUUAACAUGAUGAAAACAUUACAGAAGUUAUCUAAUUCCAUGAAAAAAAAAAAAAAAAAGAAAUUGUUUUGAGUUGCAUCACAAGUUUAAUUACAGCACAAGCAAAAUUAAUGCUCUGUGCAUCCUACUCAUAUAGAGACUCCAAGCUGUCAAUCUCUGCACAGGCCAUCUGCCAGGAAACAGAAGACAGGCCCAUUGGCAUGACUUGUGGUUAUCCCCUUAACAGAAAUGCCACAUUUCACACCUGACAGCUCAAUAUGCCCCUAAAUUACUGCUGGACUGUCUGAGUUUUGGUCAGUUCAGCCCUAGUUUUCAUUCGCAUUCACGUGGACUAACCUGAGGCGCCUGGCCCCUGGACUGACUGCGCCCCCUGCUCGCUCUGCCCCAGGGCACGGCAGGGUUUGCGUUUGCCUCCGGGCUCUACUCGCAGCUGGGUGCUGAAGGCUCCAGCUGGUGCGUUCGGAGUCGCUUUCCUCCAGGUGGAAGCUGGAAAUCAGCAUGGAUCGUGGCAGCUCCUACCCCAGGAACAGUGGGGUCUCUCUCUGACAGAGCUUUAUAAACCUCACUAAAAUCAUAGAUGUACUUGUUAAUUACUGACUCUUGAAAGCGUUACCUUUUCAUGCAGUGAUGUGUUUAUGCAGUAACCCUCGCUGGUUAUCCCCAAACUCGCAGAGAUGGACAAGGGAUAGCUUGGGCUGAAAGCAAAAAUAAAAAGCACAUAGGAGAAAGUUACAAAGUCCUUUACAAGGUAAUGACCUAUUUUUUCCCCAUUUUUCAAUGUAUAGUAAUUAAAUAUUAAUCUUAUUAGUAUUAUCUUGAUAAUGAUUAUCCUAUGCUGCUGUUCUCUAUGAUACUGUCCUUUUACAUCUCCAGCAUAUGUGCAUGCAUACAUGCACACAUCUGAUAUGAAAUUUUCUGUCGAAAUCCCCCCCCCCCAGGUAAAAAAGAAUCAGAGCUGCUUUGAUGCAGCUGCAAGGUCCUUCAGCAGUUAACACUGCGCACAUACAGUGAGUGCACGGGACUAGCAACUAAUGGGAACUUCACCACCUAUAGAGGCACAUGGACUUGGACUUCUGGAUCAUAAUGGGUGGUGGCAAAUCAAGCCACCCUUUUGGUGAUAAACAAGAUCUCCAUUUGCCUGACCUGCAACAGUGCUCUUGCCAUGACCUUUAUGACAUACACAUCUUGGGCUCUCCAAGCUUUAAAUGUUUUGGAUGUCACUAAAUGAAAAUAAACUUCAGCCUCCUCAUUUUUUCACUUUCUUUUGACCACGGUUUUCAGUUUCACUGCCUGUCCUCCUGCCCCUGGUCCCUGACUCAGUCUUCAGAACUGUCUCGUCACCAUCCUCCACCUUUACUGCACCCUCCAGGUUGAUCCUGAUUAAAAAAUCCUCCUGCAUGUGAAAACAAUAAAUAAAUAACUAAACAAAUCAUUUGUUCAGUGCUCAGAAGCACUAAAAGGAAAAUAAUGUGAAUGUCAAGAAUCACCAGAAGAGGAACAGAGAGCAAAGCAGAGGAUAUUGUAUCUUUGUACCGUUGUAGCAUUUUCUGUAAUAGCUGCACCUUGAGUACUGUGCACGCUUCUGCCCUCUAAAUCAAAGAAAAGAUGUAGUGCAACUGGAAAAGAAAGUUCUGAGAAAAGUGAUAGAGAUGAUUUAAGGUCUAAAAUAGCUUCCCUACUAAGGGUACUAGGACACUUUCAGGACAGAGACAACUAUUGGGUAAAGAAGUUCUUACUUAUCUUUAAUAUCUGUAAGGUCAGUGGCUAAAUCUAUCAAGUUCAGUGAGGUCCAAUCUAACUAUAGUUACUAACCAAAACAUUACUGGCACCAGAAAAGCUGCCUAAAUAUUGUAAAUGUAAAUAAGUAAAUGGACUCCUUAUCUCUACAGACUUUUUCCAGAUGAAAGAGAAGAACUGAAAGUGAUGAGCCAUCUCUCUAUAGAAGUCAAUUCUGGAGAACACAGCUGCUUGCAUAACUGUGAGCACUUCCUAACAUUGGUAUUAAAUAGUCCCCACCUCUUAAAGACUUCCACACUGAUCCCUGGUGGUAUUAACUGCCCUUCAAUUACAUGCAUUUGCUGAGGAUCAGUUUUGUUUUCCUCACAGGGUCAAAAAACCCCUCCAACAACCAACCAACCAAUCUUCCCCCCCCAAAAGCUCAUAUUCAUUUCACUAUUUUUUUCAGGGACUUCAGGUUAUUUAGCACCCUGGUUUGUACAGACCAGGAACCGCCUGUUUGUGGUUCUCUCACAAACUACUUGUGGAGCCAAUAAAGGAAGUUCCAUGGCAGGAAGAAGCUGCAGUGUCUGUAGAAAGAGGGAAGGACUUGGUUUCUAUUUUAAAUCCCUCCCCACACGUCAAGAGCAAUAUUGUUUGUGUGCAGAGACCUGAAAGAAUUGAUUUCUUAAAGAAGUGAUAUAUAGAAAUGCCAUCUGGAGAGGCAAAAGUGUUUUAUGGAGAAACAGAAAACUAUUAAGUAACUACAGGUUGAAUAACAUGCUUUGGGAGAAGGCUAUCUGAGAGAUUGCACUACCUAUGCUAUAACUAGUACUUUAAAGCAUAAGGAUAUACUUUGUGUGUACUUAAAGGUCAAAAGUAAAAGUCGUCUAUGACACUAAAUGUUUUUUCAUGACCACCAUCAACUGUGAUGCACUGUGCUUAAAUCUAAACCCUUCCUCCUUUAUGUGGAAAUCUGAGAGGUUAGGCUGUCUGAAUAGUUGGAAAGAAAUCUGAGGAAGGAUCCAGAUUAAUUAGAAAUUCAGCAUCUGAACUGAAAUAAAAUAUUGUUAUUAAAGGACACUUUUUUAAGUCUCAUCUGUCACAAGUAAAUAGGUGUUAUACUCCAAUUCUCUCUUCUAUUUUAAUAUAUAUAGGACUGUUAUUUAACUAUGGUAUGCAGACAAGAUAAGUUCAUUUAUAACAAGCAUAGUAACAUGAGGUGGAAGAAUAUAUUGCCUUUCUAUGUUAAAUGUGGAUGGGUGGUCAGGAGAAACAAGGAAGAGGAACUGUAUGCAGUAACUGCAGGAAAAUAUUCCAGUCAUAUUUUAGCUAAAGAAAAAGAGGAUUUGGUAUACAGAACUCAUCAGUUUGCCUGUACGAAUAAAAACAUGCUAAAAACCAUCAUGAAAACACUGUUGGUGGCAUAGAAAACAGAACAUCAUUCAUAAACUGCUAUGAAAGGAAACUGAGCUCUUUAU